rnacentral:rRNA from 1 species
AUUGAACGCUGGCGGCAGGCCUAACACAUGCAAGUCGACCGGCGGGGCGGACGGGUGAGUAAUGUCUGGGAAACUGCCCGUUGGAGUGGGAUAACAACUGGAAACGGCAGCUAAUGCCGCAUUCAAUCGGAUGUGCCCAGAUGGGAUUAGCUAGGAGGUCGGGGAAAGGCUCACCUGGGCGACGCUCCGUAACUGGUCUGAGAGGAUCAUCAGUCACACUGGAACUGAGACACGGUCCCGACUCCUAGGGGAGGCAGCAGUGGGGAAUAUUGGACAAUGGGAGAAAGCCUGAUCCAGCCAUGCCGCGUGUGUGAAGAAGGUCUUCGGAUUGUAAAGCACUUUAAGUUGGGAGGCGUUACCAACAGAAUAAGCACCGGCUAACUACGUGCCAGCAGCCGCGGUAAUAC